rnacentral:pre_miRNA from 1 species
AAAAAGGCAAACCUUGGGUUUGCGUGUUCAACUUUGACUGUCCAUCUUAUAUGAAAUUUUUUUAUAAUUCGUAUUUUCAUUAUUGUUAGAUGAUAAAACAUGAUUAAUAUUUUAUGCGUGGCUUGUCUUUUUAAUUUUUUCAAAUAAAACGGAUGGUCAAAUAUUGGGCACGGAAAUCAGGGUUUGUCUUUUU